rnacentral:RNase_P_RNA from 1 species
CGAUGGCCCACGUAAGUGGGAUCAGGUAAGGGUGAAAGGGUGCGGUAAGAGCGCACCGCGCGGCUGGUAACAGUCCGUGGCACGGUAAACUCCACCCGGAGCAAGGCCAAAUAGGGGUUCAUAAGGUACGGCCCGUACUGAACCCGGGUAGGCUGCUUGAGCCAGUGAGCGAUUGCUGGCCUAGAUGAAUGACUGUCCACGACAGAACCCGGCUUAUCGGUCAGUUUCACUU